rnacentral:misc_RNA from 1 species
GUUGACUAUGUCUUUUGUUUCAAGGUCCGCAGAGUAUUUACUGCAGUCAACCUGUAUGCUUAGCUUAUGAAAAAGUUGGGCCAUGAAAAUUCUGAUGAUUCUCAUCAAAUGUUUCCUUAUAAAUGAAAUGGAAGCUUUUUGCCUGUGGAAUUUAUAUGAGAUGCUUAUUUAUGUGGAAAUUGAGCAGGAUUGUUGACUUUUCUGCUUGUCUAAUAGAGUAUAAGAGAGAUGCUUAUCAGGAUUACAAAAGAUUAUAAGCAUCUUGCAAGCCUGUUACGUAUCAGUUGUGUAAAAAUAAAGCAUGAUUGUCAUAGUUUUUCUAUAAUACUUUGUUGGUAAGG